CUUCUUGUAAAUGCCUCUGUAAAUUCAUCAUUAAUUGGACUUAAGUCCAUGUUUCUAAUGAUUAUCUUAUUUAUUGAUUGCAUAUCUUGAAUAAACCUCAAUUUUUCAUUUUUUUUAAGUAUUGUGAACCAUCGAUUGGAAUAUGGUACAAUAGAUGGUUCUAAAAUUUCCAUCUUAAUCUUUUCAUUGAGUAAUUCAACUAGCUUUGGCAAAUAGGCCUUUAGAAUUAGAAUGGGCUUCAAAUUCUAUGGUUCAUGUGGAAUUAUAAAAAUAACCUUAGGAGCUACAAUACUUAGAUCAAUGCAC
rnacentral:lncRNA from 1 species